rnacentral:tRNA from 1 species
GCUGAAGUGGCGGAACUGGCAGACGCGCUGGAUUUAGGUUCCAGUGUCAUUAAGACGUGUGGGUCCGAAUCCCACCUUCAGUA